rnacentral:miRNA from 1 species
UCCCUCAAGGGCUCCCAAUAUU